rnacentral:rRNA from 1 species
UACAGAGGUGGCAAGCGUUGUUCGGAAUUACUGGGCGUAAAGGGCGCGUAGGCGGCCGCCUAAGUCGGACGUGAAAUCCCCAAGCUUAACUUGGGAACUGCGUCUGAUACUGGGUGGCUUGAGUUCGGGAGAGGAAUGUGGAAUUCCAGGUGUAGCGGUGAAAUGCGUAGAUAUCUGGAGGAACACCGGUGGCGAAGGCGGCAUUCUGGACCGAAACUGACGCUGAGGCGCGAAAGCCAGGGGAGCAAACGGG